rnacentral:rRNA from 1 species
AUGCACGCUGGCGGCGUGCCUAAUACAUGCAAGUCGAGCGAACAGACGAGGAGCUUGCUCCUCUGACGUUAGCGGCGGACGGGUGAGUAACACGUGGAUAACCUACCUAUAAGACUGGGAUAACUUCGGGAACCCGGAGCUAAUACCGGAUAAUAUAUUGAACCGCAGGGUUCAAUAGUGAAAGACGGUUUUGCUAUCACUUAUAGAUGGAUCCGCGCCGCAUUAGCUAGUUGGUAAGGUAACGGCUUACCAAGGCAACGAUGCGUAGCCGACCUGAGAGGGUGAUCGGCCACACUGGAACUGAGACACGGUCCAGACUCCUACGGGAGGCAGCAGUAGGGAAUCUUCCGCAAUGGGCGAAAGCCUGACGGAGCAACGCCGCGUGAGUGAUGAAGGUCUUCGGAUCGUAAAACUCUGUUAUUAGGGAAGAACAAAUGUGUAAGUAACUAUGCACGUCUUGACGGUACCUAAUCAGAAAGCCACGGCUAACUACGUG